rnacentral:rRNA from 1 species
ACUCCUACGGGAGGCAGCAGUGGGGAAUUUUGGACAAUGGGCGAAAGCCUGAUCCAGCCAUGCCGCGUGCAGGAUGAAGGCCUUCGGGUUGUAAACUGCUUUUGUACGGAACGAAAAGGCUCCUUCUAAUAAAGGGGGUCCAUGACGGUACCGUAAGAAUAAGCACCGGCUAACUACGUGCCAGCAGCCGCGGUAAUACGGAGGGUGCAAGCGU